rnacentral:rRNA from 1 species
GUAACGGCGAGUGAAGCGGCAACAGCUCAAAUUUGAAAUCUGGCCUCGGCCCGAGUUGUAAUUUGCAGAGGAUGCUUUUGGUGCGGUGCCUUCCGAGUUCCCUGGAACGGGACGCCACAGAGGGUGAGAGCCCCGUAUGGUCGGACACCAAUCCUGUGUAAAGCUCCUUCGACGAGUCGAGUAGUUUGGGAAUGCUGCUCUAAAUGGGAGGUAAAUCUCUUCUAAAGCUAAAUACCGGCCAGAGACCGAUAGCGCACAAGUAGAGUGAUCGAAAGAUGAAAAGCACCUUGAAAAGGGGGUUAAACAGUACGUGAAAUUGUUGAAAGGGAAGCACUUGUGACCAGACUUGGGCCGGGCGGCUCAUCAGGGGUUCUCCCCUGUGCAUUCCGCCCGGUACAGGCCAGCAUCGGUUCUUACCGGGGGAUAAGAACGGCAGGAACGUGGCUCCCUCUCGGGGGAGUGUUAUAGCCUGCCGUACGAUACCCUGGCGGGGACCGAGGUUCGCGCUUCCGCAAGGAUGCUGGCGUAAUGGUUACUAGUGACCCGUCUUGAAACACGGACCAAGGAGUCGUCCAUUAGAGCGAGCGUUUGGGUGUAAAACCCGCACGCGUAAUGAAAGUGAAAUUAGGUGAGAGCUUCGGCGCAUCAUCGACCGAUCCUGAUGUUCUCGGAUGGAUUUGAGUAAGAGUUUUAACGGACGGACCCGAAAGACAGUGAACUAUGCUUGUAUAGGGUGAAGCCAGAGGAAACUCUGGUGGAGGCUCGCAGCGGU